UCCCAGACAUGAUAGCAUUUCUUUUAUAAAUAUUUCAGUGUGUAUCUCCAAAGGAAACCAUCUUCUUAGAAAAAAAUAAAGCCACUAUACCAUCAUUAUGCUUAAAACUUAGCAAUGAUUUCCUAAUAUGACAAUGAUUCCUUAAUGUCACCAAGCAUCAAUGAGUGUUCAGAUUAUCCCAAUUGCCUUUAUAUGUUUUUUUAGUGUUUGUUUGUUUGAAUCAGGAACAAAUGAGUUUGCACCUAGGGAACCCAUUUUUUGUAACAAAAACUCUUGUUAGAAUUUCUACAAAUACAUCUGAUGGCUCUGCCUUAUCUUUAUAGAUUUGGUUAUCUUUCUUGAAAAUGUGCACCUCUUCUCAGGUAUUUUCCUCUGAAGAAUCAUUCAGACCAAGGAACCUUUUGGGAACUUCACUCCAACAAUUUUAUUUUUAGGUAAGAAAGGAUAUAAUAUCA
rnacentral:lncRNA from 1 species